CGAGCUCCCCCUGAGCCGCCUGGGAGCAGGGAGGGUUCUGCUACCCUGAGGGGCCCUCCCCGCGGGGCAGAGGGGUUUCCUCAGCAGUGCCCCGGAGCAGGGACCGCGCCAGCCAGCAGAAACAGCUAGUUGUUGUCUGCAGUGAAGAAUAAUUGGAAGCAUGGUGCCUGUUUCUUUUCCUCUCAUCCUCGUCUACGGCCAAACGUUGGUUUCUCAUUUCUAGAAGAUGAAAGAUGUGAUGACUCAGGAAAAACUGGAAUCUUAGUAACUGUGGUGGGCAUUGAGCCUUGCCGUCCACAAGAGAAAGCUUGCUGCUCGAGAUGUGAGUCUUCAGAUGUUCCUGCCGCCAUAUCUGACAGCUGCUGCCAAGAUUCCCUGGUGGGAUGGACUCUUAUACCUCAACAACCAGAAGCCCAAGUAAACUCUUCUAUAAAUUGAAUGACUCAUGCUUAAAAAAAAAAACAAAAAACAAACUAUC
ensembl:processed_transcript 2210408F21Rik RIKEN cDNA 2210408F21 gene